UUCAAAAUACAUAUACCUGAGCUAGAAAUAGAUCAUCGCUCCAAAAACCCCACAUCUCAUUCUGUUCGUCUGCCCCAAUCAAACCCUAAUCCUCAUACAGAGCCAUGGCCAUCACGCGUUCCGGCAGAGGGCGCCCCUUCCCCGUCGACAACCAGCCCUACCCCGCCACCAGUGGCCGAGGCCGUGGUCGUGGCCGUGGCCGUGGCCGUGGCCGUGUCCUUAUCCGUCACCGAUCACCCUCCCUACCCUUGAACCCAACCCCAAAUCAACAUCGACAGGAGGAGGAGGAGCUCGUACGAAAUCAAUUAGUACCGGAGGAGCAGGAAUCAAUAGUGGAGGAGGAGGAGGAGGAGUCCGUAGAGAGCCUUAUAGAAGGCUUACAGAAAGAAUCUCUGGUGGCUCUGGUUAUGGAAGCAAUCUCCAUUGACCCUCAUUUAGUCUGGCUGAGGUUGAUCCCGCCCAAAGAGAGAUCUUCGUGUCCUAUUUUGGAUGGGAGGACAUGACCCCUCUCACUUCUGAGACGUUGAAUUCUUUCUUUGAAAGAUAUGGAGAAAUUGAAAAUUGCACCAUCAGUGUCGAACAGAUAGAUGGGGAAACAGAGGGCCGAGGCUACAUUACCUUUAAGCAGCGAAAGGCCGCGUGGGAGGCAGCGAAGCAGCCAUCCCAUAGGAUCGGCGACAUCUAUGUCAGGUGCAUACUGCGCUCUGUUUGGCGCUUCCCCAAUCCUUCCCGCUGGUUGCAAUUGCCCGGCGUAUCGAGAUAUGAAUAUAAGUUACCAGAAAAUCAGUACGCCACCACCUCCUCUACUGAAGAAGAAGAGGAGCCUCUCGAGAAGCUUCUGGAAGCGUUAGGGACUUGCAACCUGGUUUCAUUAGUGAAGGAAGGACUAAUGAAAACCCCAACUAUACUAGCGAGCCUCUACAAGCACGCUGAGAUUGAUCCGACUCUUUGACAUAUCGCAGCUUACCGCAUUGGCCCCUAUUUCAUGACUAAUAGGAUGAUUGUGAAUUCAGUAUCUGAAAAGUACGGUGAGAUAGAACGCUGCAGGUUUGAUGAUGAUGGUGUUCAAGUAUUAUUCAAGGUGCAUGCGACCAUCAGGGAGGGGCGGCAUGCUUUUUUGGAUGAACUGUUGAACAAUGAGCACCAGCCACCCACAGCUUUAGGUGGCUGUCUUUAGAUUCAUCAAACGUUUUGGACUCUAGUGAUUCAUCGAACUGAAAGUUUUGGACUGGUGAUUUUGUAUGAAGUUCCUGAUGCUCAUGUAGAUGAUGCUUUAAUUAUUGUUUAUCUAAUGACUAGAAUCUACAUUCUCCGUACUUUCCUAUCUAUUCAAGUACUUCAUUUUUUUGGAUGUUUCGAGAACAAUGUGGUAUUUUUGUGUCAAUAUUUAUGUUUCUAAAGAACUCUUUGGGGAGAACAUCCUCAGAACAUCAGUUGUGUGGAUUUUUGGGCAUAUUAAUUUUUCUGCAAGUGCUUUAUAAUGGAAUUAUAUUCAGAAUUGAA